rnacentral:misc_RNA from 1 species
CUUUGGUUUAAAAUUUUUGUUAAGAAGAAUAUUAUCUGAUUUGAUAUCUUGGUGUAUGAUUGGGGGUUCGCAGUGUUUGUGCAGAUAUUCUAAUCCAAGCGCACAGCCUUUGGCGAUAUCGAUUCUUUUUGACCAAUCUAAAAUGUUUUUUCCAUGUAAAUGAGACUUCAAGGACCCAUUGGGAAGAUACUCUAAAACAAGCAAUCCAUUGGCUCCGUCA